GCGGCUGUAGUCUAGUGGUAGGAUGCUGGCCUUCCAAGCCAGCGACCCGGGUUCGAAUCCCGGCAGCCGCA
rnacentral:tRNA from 1 species